AGUGAACGCUGGCGGCGUGGUUAAGACAUGCAAGUCGUGCGAGAAUCCCCCGCAAGGGGGAGGAAAGCGGCAAACGGGUGCGUAACACGUGAGCAACCUGCCCUUAAGUGCGGGAUAGCCUACCGAAAGGUGGAUUAAUACCGUAUGGCGUCCCUUGUUGCAUGACAAGGGUACUAAAGCUUGUAACGGCGCUUAAGGAGGGGCUCGCGGCCUAUCCGCUUGUUGGUGAGGUAACGGCUCACCAAGGCUAAGACGGGUAGCUGGUCUGAGAGGAUGGCCAGCCACACUGGAACUGAGACACGGUCCAGACACCGACGGGUGGCAGCAGUUUCGAAUCAUCCACAAUGGGCGAAAGCCUGAUGGUGCGACGCCGCGUGAGGGAUGAAGGUCCUCGGAUUGUAAACCUCUGUCACCAGGGAGCAAAAACUAGGCUCAUAUCCUAGCUUGAGUUAACCUGGAGAGGAAGUAGUGGCAAACUCCGUGCCAGCAGCCGCGGUAAGAC
rnacentral:rRNA from 1 species